rnacentral:lncRNA from 13 species
AUGUCUGUGAUUGUAAUGACAGGUCUCUCUGAUCUCCCCCUCCUCUUCCCUCUACUGCCCACUGUACUGCCUCCUCUUCCCUCUACAGUCCACUGUACUGCCUCCCCUCUACGGCCCACUGUAAUGCCUCCCUUCCCUCUACAGCCCACUGUACUGCCACCCUUCCCUCUAUUGCCCACUGUACUGCCUCCCUUCCCUCUACGGCCCACUGUACUGCCUUCCCUCUACGGCCCACUGUACUGCCUCCCUUCCUUCUACAGCCCACAACUCUCCUUCCCUUCCCCUGGGUUUUGGUCCAUCUGCCCCAGGUAUCAUUUAAACAACAGGAUAUCAGUGACUCUGUUCAGACUCUCUGCAAGUAGCUGCCCUUACCAAUUACAACUUACUCUGAUGGUCCAGCCCCGAAAAGCAGAUUUUGAUUGUGGUUCGCCUAUUUAAACAUGUGUACAACUUGAGUCUAUCUAAUCGGCACAGUUUCUAUCUAGACCAGUCGGUUUGGAGAAGUCGUAUAAUAUUUACAAUGCAAGUAAUUAUCAGCACAGAGUGCUUUCGUUGAGUCGUGUAAAUGCUGUUUUGAAACGGGGGACAAUGGCUAAACAACAUGGAGAGCAGUGUGAACAGAAUCAGCGUAGAGAGGAUCAACAACAUACUCGUCAUCAUAUGGGUAUUGUAAAUAGUACUUCUGUACCAGACAUAUAUACACGAGAUAUAUGGAAAAUGUAUAUAGAAAUAGUUACACUGAAUGAAGUGAUAACGCUGCUACUUAGUCAUCUAAUGAGACAGGAGUCUAUAGUCCCUGAAUACACAGCCUCACAGACUGCUGUACUGUAACUGUACAGGUAUUGCAGCUGUAGCAAUGAAUGGCACAAUAUCUUAUUUAUUGCUGUUGACAAUGAUACAAGUAUAUUCGGUCACUGAGACCAUUCUCUUUCAGACGUUUAGUGUCUGUGUGUUGAGGUAAAAUAGGAAAUCGCACCCUUUCUGGUUUGCAUGUAUGUAGUACAGACAGGUACGAAGGCAAGGUACAGACACGCAGGUACUGUCACUGACACGCCCACAUAGGUAGACACGUUGGCAGUGUUCAAGAGCAUCAAUUGACUGAUCUACAGAUAAUAAUGAGUAGCUGAUUAGGAUGAUGAUUUGUAGAUCAGUCGCCGACUGCAAUCUUCGAACACAACCACACAGUGAUGCCAGCCCUGUACAUAGGACGCAGUGCAUGAUGGGAAAAAAAACAUGUAUUGUGCCAGCACGUGUUAUUUGAUGUUAUAUUUGGCAAUUGUCUUCUUCGUUUAUCUUAAUAUUAUUUAAACAUUUUCAGAGGUUUGUGAAUAUAUAUAUAUAUAUAUGUAUGUACUGCUGAUGAUGUGUGACUGUUACAAAGUACUCGCAUGAGAGGAUUUUUUUAUACUGAAGAUGUUUCUAUUUUGUUUUAUUCUGGGUGUUCUUAUUGGGGUGUGUGUGUGUGNNNNNNNNNNGCGUUUCUGCUUCCAAUAAAAUGUUAAGAGAGAAUCUCUCAUUUUCAUAGUGUCCAUUUGGAUCAGAGUGAGAAACAUAUUUACACUAUUGUGUUUACAUUUGUAUAAUUAUAAUAAUGUAUUCUGAUAUCUGGAACAUAUUACCAAUUUCUAAAUGUAUUAAGCACACAUUUCCAAUGUACACGUAGGUAGGCAUUGAGGAAGGUGGGAUGCCUCCAAUUAGGAAAUGUCUAGUAGCAGAUAGGCAAUACUGUAAUCUUAGUACAGAUAAGGAAAUGUCUGUCAAAAAUCAAUACUAUGAAACAGAUAAGAAUAAAAUCCAUAUGAGCAUUCUAAUAGCUCAUUAAGAACAGUAAUAUUGUGCUUGUACAUGUGCUACUGAUAGGAGUAAUGCAAAAUAAGACAAUUACACACACACAUUACUCACGUAUUACUUUGAUAUACUAUAUAUCCUGCAGAGAAAAGACUUCUGCAGCAGUACCAAGACUUGUAAUCCACAGUGAAAGACCUGUAUAACUACUGCUUCCUCUCAGGCCCGUUGCAGGAAACACAUCUUAACGGAGUCUGGGAUGUCCAGCUGGUCAGAGCGGACGGUCUGGGUGAACACACGCUGUACGUCCAUCAGCAACGCUCCUUCAGCAGACCCUGAUGGAACAGAGAGGAGAUGAUGAACGCAACUCAACCACAGUACUGGUAACUAGACCACACCACAACCCUAGUGAAUUCAGACAGACUUGACAUUUUAUGACUAGACGUAUUUCCAUUAUUGUUGUAUGUGUACCUGCAGUACCUGCACUGUGCAGAUAAAAAUGAGUGUCGCUCUCACCUCUAGGUCACUGUGAGGGGUGUACAGGGCCAGAGUCUUCACAAUCUGUGGCACAACAGAGACAGACAGUUAGCUUAGCCCUGCAAGCGUGUGUUCAGUAGGAAGAAACAUUCACGAGGUUGGACAUAGACAUAUACUGUAUAGAAAGGACACGGUUCUCUAGUAAAGACAAUAAUGUUCACAGAAUAAUAUUGGUUUUUAUUCUAUUGAAUUAAUAUCUACAACACUUUGAACAUUUCCCCCUACCAAUACCAGCUUAAAAACCACCUGAGCAGUGCAGGUAUGAACGAGGGCCUGCGUGUCAGCGUUUUGUCUUCUUGCCCACUUGCAGGAGCUGAGCGGCCUGGAUGAGAGGCUCCAACAUGGCACAGCUCCCCCUGCCUGCAGCCCACGGCUCCCCCUGCCUGCAGCCCACGGCUCCCCCUGCCUGCAGCCCACGGCUCCCCCUGCCUGCAGCCCACAGCUCCCCCUGCCUGCAGCCCACAGCUCCCCCUGCCUGCAGCCCACAGCUCCCCCUGCCUGCAGCCCACAGCUCCCCCUGCCUGCAGC